AUAUUGCAAUGGCGGAGAUGUCAAAGUGGUUGUGACAUGCGUUUUAUUUUUAUCGACAUAUCACAGCCACUUUGAUGAGCUUCGAAAUUGUAAGCA
rnacentral:pre_miRNA from 1 species